rnacentral:rRNA from 1 species
AGAUUAAGUUAUUAAGGGCGCACGGUGGAUGCCUUGGCACUAGAAGCCGACGAAGGACGUUACUAACGACGAUAUGCUUUGGGGAGCUGUAAGUAAGCUUUGAUCCAGAGAUUUCCGAAUGGGGAAACCCAGCACGAGUUAUGUCGUGUUAUCUGCAUGUGAAUACAUAGCAUGCAAGAAGGCAGACCCGGAGAACUGAAACAUCUUAGUACCCGGAGGAAGAAGAAAAAAUCGAUUCCCUGAGUAGCGGCGAGCGAAACAGGAAGAGCCCAAACCAAUAAGCUUGCUUAUUGGGGUUGUAGGACACUCUGUACGGAGUUACAAAAUUUGUUAGACGAAUAACCUGGAAAGGUUAAUCAGAGAAGGUAAUAAUCCUGUAGUCGAAUUCUCUCUUGAGUGGAUCCUGAGUACGACGGAGCACGUGAAAUUCCGUCGGAAUCUGGGAGGACCAUCUCCUAAGGCUAAAUACUCUCUAGUGACCGAUAGUGAACCAGUACCGUGAGGGAAAGGUGAAAAGUACCCCGGAAGGGGUGAAGAGAACUUGAAACCGUGUGCUUACAAGUAGUCAGAGCCGUUAAUGGGUGAUGGCGUGCCUUUUGUAGAAUGAACCGGCGAGUUACGAUCUGAUGCAAGGUUAAGCAGAAAAUGUGGAGCCGUAGCGAAAGCGAGUCUGAAUAGGGCGAAUGAGUAUUUGGUCGUAGACCCGAAACCAGGUGAUCUACCCUUGGUCAGGUUGAAGUUCAGGUAACACUGAAUGGAGGACCGAACCGACUUACGUUGAAAAGUGAGCGGAUGAACUGAGGUAGCGGAGAAAUUCAAUCGAACUUGGAGAUAGCUGGUUCUCAGAAAUAGCUUUGGGGCUAGCCUCAAGUGAUGAUUAUUGGAGGUAGAGCACUGUUUGGACGAGGGCCCCUCUCGGGUUACCGAAUUCAGACAAACUCCAGAUGCCAAAUAAUUUAACUUAGGAGUCAGAAUGUGGAUAAGGUCCAUAUUCGAGAAACAGCCCAGACCACCAGCUAAGGUCCCAAAAUAUAUGUUAAGUGGAAAAGGAUGUGGCGUUGCCCAGACAGCUAGGAUGUUGGCUUAGAAGCAGCCAUCAUUUAAGAGUGCGUAAUAGCUCACUAGUCGAGUGACACUGCGCCGAAAAUGUACCAGGGCUAAACAUAUUACCGAAGCUGUGGAUUGUCCUUUGGACAAUGGUGAGAAACGUUCUAAGGGCGUUGAAGCAUGAUCACCAAGGACAUGUGGGCCUUAGAAGUGAGAAUGCCGGUGUGAGUAGCGAAAGACGGGUGAGAAUCCCGUCCACCGAUUGACUAAGGUUUCCAGAGGAAGGCUCGUCUCUGGGUGAGUCAGUCUAAGCUGAAGGCCGACAGGCGUAGGCGAUGGAUAACAGGUUGAUAUUCCUGUACCACCAUUAUUCGUUUUAAGCGAUGGGGGGGACGCAGUAGGAUAGAAGCGUGCUGUUGGAGUGCACGUCCAGCGGUGAGAUUGAGUGUUAGGCAAAUCCGGCACUCUUAAGAUUGAGCUGUGAUGGGGAGGACACCUCAGUCGGUCGAUUCACACACUGCCGAGAAAAGCCUCUAGCUAGAAUAACGGUGCCCGUACCGCAAACCGACACAGGUAGUCAAGAUGAGAAUUCUAAGGUGAGCGAGCGAACUCUCGUUAGGAACUCAGCAAAUGACCCGUAACUUCGGGAGAAGGGGUGCUCUUUGAGUUCACGCUUCGAAGAGCCGCAGUGAAUAGGCCCACGACUGUUUAUCAAAAACACAGGUCUCUGCUAAACCGUAAGGUGACGUAUAGGGACUGACGCCUGCCCAGUGCUGGAAGGUUANNNNNNNNNNNNNNNNNNNNNNNNNNNNNNNNNNNNNNNNNNNNNNNNNNNNNNNNNNNNNNNNNNNNNNNNNNNNNNNNNNNNNNNNNNNNNNNNNNNNCAAGUCGAGCAGGGUCGAAACGGACUUAGUGAUCGGUGGUUCCCAUGGAAGGGCCAUCGCUCAACGGAUAAAAGCUACCCCGGGGAUAACAACUUAUCCCCAAGAGUUCACAUCGACGGGAGGUUUGGCACCUCGAUGUCGGCUCAUCGCAUCCUGGGGCUGUAGUCGGUCCCAAGGGUUGGGCUGUUCGCCCAUUAAAGCGGUACGCGAGCUGGGUUCAGAACGUCGUGAGACAGUUCGGUCCCUAUCCGUCGUGGGCGUAGGAAAUUUGAGAGGAGCUGUCCUUAGUACGAGAGGACCGGGAUGGACAUACCUCUGGUGUACCAGUUGUCGUGCCAACGGCAUAGCUGGGUAGCUAUGUAUGGACGGGAUAAGUGCUGAAAGCAUCUAAGCAUGAAGCCCCCCUCGAGAUGAGAUUUCCCAACUUCGGUUAUAAGAUCCCUCAAAGAUGAUGAGGUAAAUAGGUUCGAGGUGGAAGCGUAGCGAUACGUGGAGCUGACGAAUACUAAUCGAUCGAAGACUUAAUCAA